rnacentral:rRNA from 1 species
GGACGAACGCUGGCGGCGUAGCCUAACACGAUGCAAGUCGAGCGAGGAGAUCCUCGGGAUGAUCCUAGCGGCGGACGGGUGAGUAACACGUGGGCAACCUGCCUCAUAGAGAGGAAUAGCCUUCCGAAAGGGAGAUUAAUACCUCAUAACAUUGCAGUUUCGCAUGGAACAGCAAUUAAAGGAGCAAUCCGCUAUGAGAUGGGCCCGCGGCGCAUUAGGCUAGUUGGUGAGGUAACGGCUCACCAAGGCGACGAUGCGUAGCCGACCUGAGAGGGUGAUCGGCCACAUUGGGACUGAGACACGGCCCAGACUCCUACGGGAGGCAGCAGUGGGGAAUAUUGCACAAUGGGGGGAAAACCCUGAUGCAGCCUAACGCCGCGUGAGUGAUGACGGCCUUCGGGUUGUAAAGCUCUGUCUUCAGGGACGAUAAUGACGGUACCUGAGGAGGAAGCCACGGCUAACUACGUGCCAGCAGCAGC